AGCAGCAGCCGCGGUAACACCAGCACCUCGAGUGGUCAGGAGGUUUAUUGGGCCUAAAGCAUCCGUAGCCGGUUGCAUAAGUUUUCGGUUAAAUCUAUGCGCUUAACGUAUAGGCCGCCGAAAAUACUGUGCAGCUAGGGAGUGGGAGAGGUACACGGUACUCGAUAGGAAGGGGUAAAAUCCUUUGAUCUAUUGAUGACCACCUGUGGCGAAGGCGGUGUACCAGAACACGUUCGACGGUGAGGGAUGAAAGCUGGGGGAACAAACCGGAUUAGAUACCCGAGUAGUCCCUGUCUCUUAUAC
rnacentral:rRNA from 1 species